GGACAGAAUUUAAAAAUUGGUGCAUUGCUACAGAUUUUUUCCCCCUUUAACACUAGAGCAUUUCUGAAGAGUAUUGAGGCUUUGAGCAACACAAAAAACUGUUGCUUCAAUGUUGCUUCAGAAUGGUAUUAAAGCAUUUAAAAGAAGCUGGCCUUUGAGAGAAUAAAUGUUAAAAAAAUUAUCUGGUCAUUCAGAAGGGGUUAGAAACACAGUGCGUUGGUUAUUACAGGGCAAACCAUAGAGAGAUACAUCAGGAGUCAUUACACACAGCUUAACUCCCUACUGUGUUGUUGAUCAUCUGUUCAUGUGAUGUUAAAAGGUGGGAAUAUGUGUUCAUGUGAAAUGUCUUGAACAAACUAGUGCAGGAAAGGUCAGCAGGGCAGAUGCCGGGAGCCCUGUAAGAAGACCGAUAUUGAAUCAGAAGGAAAUAAUCAGUUGAUAAGUGGCAGAGCCGUGCUAAGCCCAAGCAACCUGCUCCCCAUACCUGUGAUGCAUAGGAGCGAGAUGACCAUUCAGUGCAGGCAGAGGGCCAGUCUUGUCUUCUUUGGUGUAACCCAGCCGUUGGGUUAGAGGCUGGUCAAUCUCACUGACACUUGAAACAAUACACCCAUCCCCACCUGCCCUCCGACGCAACAACCCAACGGUGGCUUACUAUAGCAACCCAGCUGUUGGGUUACGCAGAACGCAGGCUUUUUGCAUCCUCGUCAGGAGACAGCAGAUCUCAAUUGGUGCUUUACUUCGGUAAAAUAAAGGUUAUAAGGAACCUGCCAUAAUAUCUUUCAGCUUUGACAUACACAAAGCAGCGGUCUGAGGUUCGCAGCUCCUCCGCUGAACAGCGGAAAGAAAACUAAUUGAAGCGGAGAGGAGAGGGAACUUUGAAAAUGGGCUGCAGUGAGUUUUGGACAUAGUCUGUUCGUUGGCAUGAGAAAAAGAAAAGCGAAAUAUGGUCAAAUUUGUUUUCAAACGCAAGUUAUAAAUAGGCCUAUUUCAUUUAACGGUAAAAGCUGUAUAUUUGAGAUGUCAUUCUUUUCUGCUCAUUUGUACUCAGAUGUACUUGUUUGUUUCACGUUGUUUUAACUCGUCUAUAAUUUUUGUGCAUUCCUGGGUGUUCUUUCUUAUUAAAGCUACU